rnacentral:rRNA from 1 species
UGGGGAAUCUUAGACAAUGGGGGCAACCCUGAUCUAGCCAUGCCGCGUGAACGAUGAAGGCCUUAGGGUUGUAAAGUUCUUUCACCCGUGACGAUAAUGACGGUAGCGGGAGAAGAAGCCCCGGCUAACUCCGUGCCAGCAGCCGCGGUAAUACGGAGGGGGCUAGCGUUGUUCGGAAUUACUGGGCGUAAAGCGCGCGUAGGCGGGCUGGAAAGUUGGGGGUGAAAUCCCGGGGCUCAACCCCGGAACUGCCUUCAAAACUCCCAGUCUUGAGGUCGAGAGAGGUGAGUGGAAUACCGAGUGUAGAGGUGAAAUUCGUAGAUAUUCGGUGGAACACCAGUGGCGAAGGCGGCUCACUGGCUCGAUACUGACGCUGAGGUGCGAAAGCGUGGGGAGCAAACAGGAUUAGAUACCCGGGUAGUCC